UACGAAGGGGGCUAGCGUUGCUCGGAAUUAUUGGGCGUAAAGCGCACGUAGGCGGCUCUGCAAGUCCCAUGUGAAAGCCCACGGCUCAACCGUGGAAGUGCAUGGGAAACUGCAAAGCUUGAGUACUUAAGAGGAUCGCGGAAUUCCCGGUGUAGAGGUGAAAUUCGUAGAUAUCGGGAGGAACACCAGUGGCGAAAGCGGCUACCCUGGCCCACUCUUGACGCUGAGGCGCGAAAAGCUAGGGGGAGCAAACGGGG
rnacentral:rRNA from 1 species